AUGGAGAAGGGAGGCCGCCGUGCCAUGGUGAAGGGAGCCAUCCACCAGAGGAAGCUUAGCUCCCUCCGUGACGCGGAGCCACUGAUCGACAUGCACGGGACUGUGAUGAGCUACCAGGUCAGGGUGCCAUGCCUCCAUGGCAUCCUUCACACACGCAGCAUCCAGAGACUGCUGCAGCGUCAGAUCAAGGACAUGGGCUGGGUGGUAAAAGGCAUGACUCAUCUCGACGCGCUGGUCAUCAUGCACACCAUGAUCAGCACUUCGUCUGCUCUCAUGGAUCGCAUGAUCCGCGAGGCGGAGCUGACACCGGUCGGCAACACGACGGCGACCCCCGACCCUGACGACGCCGACUGCUUCUCCGACGGCGAGGUUCCAUCGGAGGGACGCCGCACCACCUUCAACACCGACGAGGAGGUCGAGGGACUCCGCGACCCGGUGGUCUCGCUCGCCCCCGCGACCCACGAGUCCGCCGACCGCGUUCUCCGCGACUCGGAACUCCGCGACCCGGCGCUCCCGCUCUUCCCCACCGGCUUCAACAUCGACAAGGAGGCCCCGGGCGAGGAGCGACGCGGCGCCCAGCCGCUCCCGUUCUUCCCCAUCAGCAUCACCGCCAAGGACGCCAAUGCCGAACCCGCGCCCUCCCACACCUCCCUCCGCGACGACGACGACGACAAGGGGCUCUCUGCCAACACUCCUCUCCCUGCACAGCGCGGGCACUCCACCGACAACAACGCGUCGGUCGCCUUGGAGCCCGGUCUGGAGCCAAGUCGUCAGCCCAUCCUCCUGUUGGAGUACCCAUGCCCCCGCCGCCUCGGGGCCUAUGGGUCGGCCACCAUGAACCUGGCGGAGCUGAUGCUUGAGGCGGGAACUGGUACCCGCAGCCAGGUUCUGGUGCGCGCCCCAGCCAUCGUCGACAUGGCCGCCCGGGCUGUCUCCGGCGGGAGUCCUCCGCGCAUCCUGGAUAGGUGCCCUGCCUACCGCCGUCUGGUCAUUGAGCUGUUUGAUUCGGGCACAGCGCUCCGGCAUCAUGAACUUGGAAGCCCCGCUCUUCAGCUAGCACUGCAGGAACUGGGGAGCCAGAUUGAGGAUGUGGCCACUGCCAUCCUCACAGCGCGGCACCCGCGGCCGGUUCUCCUUGAGCACCUGGCAGCGGUGAAGGCAUGCCUCCAUCUCGUCUGGAAUUUGAGGGUCCCUGCAACCGAGUUUCAGCUACUCUGGAGUCUGAACUUCUGA
rnacentral:rRNA from 1 species